GUAAAAAUCGGCAUAAACGUUUUUACGAAAAAUAAAUCUUAGAAAAAUAUUUAUUUUUACGAAGAAUCUUGCGGAGAAAACACAUUCGCGAAAAAUGGGAGAAAGACUCGAACAAGGUUGCCGCGUAGCAACCAGCACAAAAGCUGGUCGCUACGUAGCAACCAGCACAAAAGCUGGUCGCUACGUAGCAAUCGAGCUC
rnacentral:lncRNA from 1 species